rnacentral:rRNA from 1 species
GACGAACGCUGGCGGCGUGCCUAAUACAUGCAAGUCGAACGCAGUGGGGCCGGGUGAGUAACACGUGGGUAACCUCCCAUCAGAGGGGAUAACACUUGGAUACAGGUGCUAAACCGAUAUUGAUGGUUGGACCCGCGGGGCAUGAGCUAGUUGGUGCGGUAACGGCUCACCAAGGCCCCGAUGCGUAGCCGACAGGAGAGGAUGAUCGGCCACACGGGGACGGAGACACGGCCCAGACUCCUACGGAAGGCAGCAGUAGGGAAUCGUGGGCAAUGGGUGAAAGACUGACCGAGAAACGCCGCGUGAGUGAAGAAGGUUUUCGGAGCGUAAAACUCUGUUGUUAGAGAAGCGGUAUCUAACCAGAAAGCCACGGCUAACUACGUGCCAGCAGCCGCGGUAAUUC